rnacentral:lncRNA from 1 species
AAAUAUUUCAUCAAAAUUCUAUAGAGUUCGAUCACAUUAAAAAUUUGAUGUGUGGAACAAAAACAAAGACAAUUAAAAUAAAUGACCUUAAACAAAAGUUAACUCUCAAUGCAAUAAAUUUAACUUUGGAGAAGAUAAAGUCAAGACAAUAAAUAUUAUAACUUAUUUACAAAUUUGAUCAAACGAUCUACUUUGGAAAAGAGACGAGGUAUCUAAUUCACUAUACUUCUAAAAGAUGUUAUAAAAGACUACAAAUGAGUUCUAAGAA